rnacentral:rRNA from 1 species
CCAAUAGCGUAUAUUAAAGUUGUUGCAGUUAAAAAGCUCGUAGUUGAAUUUCGGGGUUCAUCCGUUGGUCGGGCUCUUUGGUCUGUACUGGCGUGAUGGCUUCCUACCUUCUGAAUAACCGGCAUUCCAUUAAUUUGGUGCGCCGGGGAAGCAGGACUGUUACCUUGAAAAAAUUAGAGUGCUUAAAGCAGGCUAUCGCCUGAAUACAUUAACAUGGAAUAAUGAAAUAGGCUGCAUGGUUCUAUUUUGUUGGUUUCUAGGAUCACCGUAAUGAUUAAUAGGGAUAGUUGGGGGCAUUAGUAUUCAAUUGUCAGAGGUGAAAUUCUUGGAUUUAUUGAAGACUAACUUCUGCGAAAGCAUUUGCCAAGGAUGUUUUCAUUAAUCAAGAACGAAAGUUAGGGGAUCGAAGACGAUCAGAUACCGUCGUAGUCUUAACCAUAAACUAUGCCGACUAGGGAUCGGACGAAGUUAAUUUUUUAAUGACUCGUUCGGCGCCUUACG